GCGCCGUUGGUUUAGUGGUAAAAAUAUCUCGUUGCCAAACGAGACGCCCCGGGUUCGGUUUCCUGACCGGCGCA
rnacentral:tRNA from 1 species